rnacentral:rRNA from 14 species
UGGCACCUCGAUGUCGGCUCAUCACAUCCUGGGGCUGUAGCCGGUCCCAAGGGUAUGGCUGUUCGCCAUUUAAAGUGGUACGCGAGCUGGGUUCAGAACGUCGUGAGACAGUUCGGUCCCUAUCUGCCGUGGGUGUAGGAAUAUUGAGAGGAGCUGUCCUUAGUACGAGAGGACCGGGAUGGACAUACCUCUGGUGGACCUGUUGUUGCGCCAGCAGCAGUGCAGGGUAGCUAUGAUCGGACAGGAUAACCGCUGAAGGCAUCUAAGCGGGAAGCCCCCCUCAAAACAAGGUAUCCCUGAGGACCGUGGUAGACCACCACGUCGAUAGGCCGGAGAUGUAAGCGCAGCAAUGCGUUCAGUUGACCGGUACUAAUUG